GACUGGGACAUCUUGCUUCCCUGUCCUCCCUGGCUAUCUAGCAGCCACUCUCCUCCACUCCAGCAUGGAUGCAGCUGGACUAUCAGCAUGACUCCUCUCCCCGUCUCUCUCCACUUCCGACACUGCUGCUGCCUUUUGGACCAGGGAGGGAGGGAUCUAGGCCCAUUGUUAACACCCUCAACUCCCACAGCUGGCCUUCUAGAAGGUUCCCUGUUUCAGCCCUGCCACUCAUUGGGUCGUUGACAUGGCAGCUGAGGCUGUCCUGGAGCCCUGCACCAAUCACGGGCCUGCACUUGGACCAAUCACAGGCCUGUAGCUGCUAUAUAAGCAGCACUCCCCAUCCACUUCUCAGAUUGGUCUAAGAGGGCUCGCUCCAGCGUGCGGUGUGUGCUGCAGCUCAGGCCCUGCUAAAGUAAAGCUUAGGUUUGGUGGUCCUGGAAACCAGCUUGUAAUUUAUUUCUUGGGUCGUGUGGGCUCCAAAAGUCCUGUAAAUGUGCUUGAGAUUCUUAUUCUGAGUGGUGUGGAUAGAGCAAUCAGUUCAAAAGAAAACACUCUGUUCAGAAGAGCUCCAGGAGCAGCAGCCAGUGAGCAAAAGAACUCUAGGCUGAUUUGCAACAUUUCUGGGGACCCAGAUGGGCCACCUCCUUUUGGAGGGUUCCCAAGAAGAGUGCAGACCUUCCUCGUGGGUGACAAGCAAGCACCUGAACCUUUCUUCAGUGUUGGGCACAACUGCAGAUGGUGUCACCCUCGUAUGGGGGACCCCAGAGGAUGUCGCAUACCACAGAAAACCCACUGCACUGCCAGCCCUUGGAGAAGAAAUUGAAAAUGCACGCGCAACAAUCUCAACAACCAAGGUCACCCGAGCAGCAGCUCUCCGUGCUAGUGAACAUCUGGGAGCGAACGGCCACCACUGUGAGCACCCCUGUAAUUGCAGAGGCCAAAGAGAUCAAGAGUGUCCCCUGGAGGCCUCACGAGCUCCCUAGUGUGGCUGUGGCAGGUGAUUGGAUCAUGAGGUGCUGUACUCAUCAGAAGCACCCACUGGUUAUACAUGGAAUUACAUAUGACCCAGCAAUACUGCUUUGAUGUAUAUACCUAGGAAAUAUGAGGACAUAUGUCCACACAACCAUGUGUACAUAAAUGCCCACAGCAAUAUUGUUUAUAAGAGCCAAAUUCUCAUCCACAGAAGAAUGGACUAACAAAAUACAGACUAGAAUGGAAUAUUCCAUUCUAGAAUAUAUAAAGGGAAUAUUAAAUAUAUAAAGUAAUAUUAGUGAG
rnacentral:lncRNA from 1 species